AAAUUCAUAAUGCAACACCGCCGUAUAAUUUUGGGAAUAGGGCCCAUGAGUUUCUACCAGACUGCCGUAAAUUAGUCUGACUACGUUGGUGAAUAGAUGAUGG
rnacentral:ncRNA from 1 species